rnacentral:lncRNA from 1 species
GUACAUAGAGUCCCUGAGUACUCUUCCCCCAGUGGUGACAACUGUAGUAUAAUAUCAAUUCUGGGAAAUUGACAUUGGUACAAUACCAAAUAUACUAUGCCUUUUUCUCUAAGGCAUGAUGUUGCAGUAGCAUCCUUGUACAUGUAGCUAGGAGAACUUGUACUAAGCCCAGAUAAAUAGUUGAAGUACAAGGGCAAGGAGUGUGUCUUUGAUAUUUUAAUAGAAAUCACCUAUUGCCCUCUAGAAAAGCUGUACCCUUUUCCAGUGGCAGAGAACCUUCCUGAAAGGCAGUCCUGUGUAAUGGUGUCCAUUUCAUCACACCCUUAAAACACUCAGCUUUAACAAACAUGCAGAUUUUUGCUGAUGUGGGAGAAAAUAUUAAUUAUUAAUGAUAUUAAGGUGAUUAUCUUUUCGUAUGUUUAUAGAUAUUUGUAUUUCUUUUUAAAUGAACUGCUCAUGACCUUUGUCUACUUUUAUUUGGGUUUACUUCUUUCUCAUUUAUUCCUAUAAACUCUUUAUAAAAGGAAAUUAACCAUUUGAUUGUCAUAUGUUGUGAAUAUUUUUACCAUUUUGACUUUUGAAUUUAUGUCUUUUUAAUGAAUUGUAGAAGUUUAAAAUCUUUAUGGAAUAAAUUUAUUUAGUUUUUUGUUUAUGG